UACGAAGGGGGCUAGCGUUGUUCGGAAUUACUGGGCGUAAAGCGCACGUAGGCGGAUAUUUAAGUCAGGGGUGAAAUCCCAGAGCUCAACUCUGGAACUGCCUUUGAUACUGGGUAUCUUGAGUAUGGAAGAGGUAAGUGGAAUUGCGAGUGUAGAGGUGAAAUUCGUAGAUAUUGGGAGGAACACCAGUGGCGAAGGCGGCUCACUGGACUGGUACUGACGCUGAGGCGCGAAAGCGUGGGGAGCAAACAGG
rnacentral:rRNA from 1 species